AAAAACGUCUCACUCGCACAUGUUUAUAUUGAAAAUAUCCAAUAACAUGUAAACAAAUAUAUCGACAAUAAAUUCGGAGCAAUAGUUCAUUAAUAACAUCUUCAACCAAUAACUAAAGUUAAAUUGACCGUUUAUUUAUGAUAUUUUCACUCAWUAAUAAAAAUUAGCCUACUGAACUAAAUGAACUAAACGAACUAAUCUUUUGUACUAUUCACUUUGCUGACCGAGAUUGAAAGAUGGAAAUCAGCAAGGUGAACUAAACUUCCCAGGUCUAACUGUAAGUGAUUUGUGAAUUUUGUCUAUAAUAUUUAAGAAAAGAUCUGUCGAGUGAAAGUUAAAAGUGUUCUCGUGUUGUGCGGUUAAUUGUUAUUACAUGAUGACAUCUAUCUCUGAUGAAACCACUAUCAAAGAAAGGGAACUGAUAGAAGCUUACAUUUCCAUGCUUUUCCUGCAAAAAAUAGUGGAGUCACUUUGAAAAUUAUUAAUCGUUUCGGAUUAGAAGAAAUGAUUGAUAAACGAAAAGCAUGGGAGCAUAACUUAUUGAUCGGAAAACUCGUGAUCAAGUUCAUGCGAGUGUGUUCAAAACACUUUGAAAAUGAAGACUAUUGUGCAAAAGGUUUAAUGUUAAAGCAGCCAAAGUUAAAAAGAUGUGCCAUUCCAUCCAGAAAUUUGCCUAAGGAGAGCUUUUGUUUAAGAAUUUCAAAUCUUAGAGCAGAACGUUCAGCGAAAAGGCUACCAUGGUGUACUGUGUACAGUGCACUGUAACAGUACAUUUUGUGAGGAUAUUACUUUGACCGAAAGUGAGCAAUUGACCCCUAAAUUAAAUAUUGAGGAAUUGACAUUACGUGAACAGGAGUCUCUACAAGGCUUAUUAGCAUUGGGAAAUAUUCCACAUAUCAGCUAUUACACGGAUCAGGCAGUGCAAGUCAAGAAAAGUGAUAAUUUGAGAUCAAAAGAUGUGAAAUAAAACUAUUUGCAGAUUA